UGCCUACGGGGCGCAGCAGUGGGGAAUAUUGGGCAAUGGGCGCAAGCCUGACCCAGCAACGCCGCGUGAAGGAAGAAGGCUUUCGGAUUGUAAACUUCUUUUGACAGGGAAGAGCAGAAGACGGUACCUGUCGAAUAAGCCACGGCUAACUACGUGCCAGCAGCCGCGGUAAUACGUAGGUGGCAAGCGUUGUCCGGAUUUACUGGGUGUAAAGGGCGUGUAGCCGGGCUGACAAGUCAGAUGUGAAAUCCGGGGGCUCAACCCAUAACCUGCAUUUGAAACUGUAGUUCUUGAGUGAUGGAGAG
rnacentral:rRNA from 1 species